CCAGGUUCCGUUGCGUAGUAAGCGUAACCGGUGUGUGAAUCUUACCGGCUUUAAUGGCAACAAAGAAGGAUCUAGUUCCACCGUCACCACACGUGCAACGUUUGAAUAAAACUUUUGUUUUAAGAGACAACUCAUGUACAUGCACUUUGAUGAUUUCAAAGAGCACUUGUGCUGUUUUGUUUCAGUCAUGUGUGUUGUUUGUUCC